UGGGGAAUUUUGGACAAUGGGCGAAAGCCUGAUCCAGCAAUGCCGCGUGUGUGAAGAAGGCCUUCGGGUUGUAAAGCACUUUUGUCCGGAAAGAAAUCCUUGGCUCUAAUACAGUCGGGGGAUGACGGUACCGGAAGAAUAAGCACCGGCUAACUACGUGCCAGCAGCCGCGGUAAUACGUAGGGUGCAAGCGUUAAUCGGAAUUACUGGGCGUAAAGCGUGCGCAGGCGGUUUGCUAAGACCGAUGUGAAAUCCCCGGGCUCAACCUGGGAACUGCAUUGGUGACUGGCAGGCUAGAGUAUGGCAGAGGGGGGUAGAAUUCCACGUGUAGCAGUGAAAUGCGUAGAGAUGUGGAGGAAUACCGAUGGCGAAGGCAGCCCCCUGGGCCAAUACUGACGCUCAUGCACGAAAGCGUGGGGAGCAAACAGGAUUAGAUACCCUGGUAGUCCACGCCCUAAACGAUGUCAACUAGUUGUUGGGAUUCAUUUCCUUAGUAACGUAGCUAACGCGUGAAGUUGACCGCCUGGGGAGUACGUCGCAAGAUUAAAACUUAAAUGAAUUGACGGGGUC
rnacentral:rRNA from 1 species